AUGGUACUCCCUCCGUUCCGAAUUACUUGUCGCAGGUAUGGAUGUAUCUAGAUGUAUUUUAGUUAUAGAUACAUCCAUUUUUGCGAUAAGUAAUUUGGAACGGAGGAAGUACCUG
rnacentral:pre_miRNA from 1 species